CCGUCUCCCUUGCUGCAAGGAGCUCCAAGCCGUGUGUGUGAUGCUGACGUGUUCCUGCACUCGUUUAUAGCUUCCUCCCACUGGCACCCUGUUUCCCUGCAGUGAAGGAAGAGAGAGGGGAAAGACAGGAAUCCUAUCAAGUUGAUGCUUGGAAAGCAACUGUUCUAUAUAGGCCCUUGAUACUUCUACUCUUUGCUGCCUAAGCUCGUGCUGUUGUGUAGCUGCUAGAUCCUGCAGCUUUAGUUCUUGCAUCAGCUUGCCAUGGACAGAGGAGCAGGUGUUCCCAUGGAUGCAGGCCAGGAUUUGUGGGACUGGGAGGUCCUGCCUGACAAGAGGAGCUUCUCCAUGGGCCAUGGCAGCAUGCAUCUUAAUGAUCAAGAAACAGAGGAACAUGUUCUGCCUCCAUCGGGAGAUGUUGCUGUGGCCGACGAGCCUGACGUCGAGUGCAAGGACAUUGGCGUCGUGCUGGAUGAGACCAAACCAGUGCCUAGUGUUGCCGAUCUGAUGGUCUCUGACAAGGAUGAGGAAGAGAAGGCGUUCGAGAGCUCUGACGCCAAGGAGGCCGACGAUGACAAAUUUGCCGAGGAGGAAGAAGAGGAUGUCAAGACGGAAAACAAAAAGGCGCGGCCGGAGUGCGUGGUGUUCAGCGUGGGGAAGCUGAAGGUGAACGGGAUCGGCGCGCUGUGCUCGUUCGGGUUCGCCGCCGCCACCGUCUGCAUCUUCCUGAUCGGCGGCAGGCUGCAGCACCACCACAGGCAGCAGCAGCAGAAGAUCCAGCUGCAGUUCUAUGGCGAUGAUAAGAGAAUCCAGCAGGUUGUGCAACAGACCUCAAGGCUGAACCAGGCCAUGUCAUCCGUGAUGGGGGCAGGAGGAGCAUCAACCAGGGCCAACAUAUCAUUUGGUGGCUUCUACGAUGGGUUCUGAUCUCAUCACUUCAUCAGAAUGGAGUAUCAUCAUCAAGCACAAGUUGCAAUGGUAGCAGGGGAAAAAGAAGAAGUAACUCACUUGUAAUGCAAGGAAUACCAUGGGGUAAAAAUCUGCCGUCCCUAUUAGGUGGUCAAAAGAAGCCAACUCCAGCAAGUCUCUGUGAAUGGGAUGGAGCGAGCCAGGGAGACGAACUUGCCAAGUGGCAUCGUUGCUCCGGUGAUGCCGACACAAGGAAGAAGGCCAUGUGAAAAGAAGAAAAGAUUGUUUGUUAGUUUGUUGCGUGUUUAUUCACAUAUUUAAUUUGUUCUUUUGUGCACCUUGCAUAUGGUUGCGUGCACGGUGCAUUUGGAAAACUAGUCAGUCCUUAUCGAGAUGAAGUGUUUUACAUAGCCUUUUCCCAUACUUAGAAUGUAAUUUGCUUAUUUCUGGUCUUCGAAUCUGUCGCCCUGUAAAUA